UACGUAGGGUGCGAGCGUUAAUCGGAAUUACUGGGCGUAAAGCGUGCGUAGGCGGUUCGUUAAGUUCGUUGUGAAAGCCCCGGGCUCAACCUGGGAACUGCAAUGGAAACUGGCGGGCUUGAGUGUGGCAGAGGGGGGUGGAAUUCCGCGUGUAGCAGUGAAAUGCGUAGAUAUCGAGAGGAACACCAGUGGCGAAGGCGAGUCCCUGGACAGAUCCUGACGCUGAGGCACGAAAGCUAGGGGGAGCAAACAGG
rnacentral:rRNA from 1 species